ACUGGUUAUUUAUGGCUGCAGGG
rnacentral:miRNA from 1 species